UAUGAUGUUAAGACUGAUGUUAAUGGCUA
rnacentral:piRNA from 1 species